ensembl:snoRNA snoRNA DQ267102
AGGGUCAAUGAUGACCAUUGGUUUCAUAUGAGUUGUGUAUCAUGACUAUAUGUCUGGGAGUCUGAGGUCCAC